rnacentral:rRNA from 1 species
UGGGGAAUUUUGGACAAUGGGCGAAAGCCUGAUCCAGCAAUGCCGCGUGUGUGAAGAAGGCCUUCGGGUUGUAAAGCACUUUUGUCCGGAAAGAAAUCCUUGGCUCUAAUACAGUCGGGGGAUGACGGUACCGGAAGAAUAAGCACCAGCUAACUACGUGCCAGCAGCCGCGGUAAUACGUAGGGUGCAAGCGUUAAUCGGAAUUACUGGGCGUAAAGCGUGCGCAGGCGGUUUGCUAAGACCGAUGUGAAAUCCCCGGGCUCAACCUGGGAACUGCAUUGGUGACUGGCAGGCUAGAGUAUGGCAGAGGGGGGUAGAAUUCCACGUGUAGCAGUGAAAUGCGUAGAGAUGUGGAGGAAUACCGAUGGCGAAGGCAGCCCCCUGGGCCAAUACUGACGCUCAUGCACGAAAGCGUGGGGAGCAAACAGGAUUAGAUACCCUGGUAGUCCACGCCCUAAACGAUGUCAACUAGUUGUUGGGGAUUCAUUUCCUUAGUAACGUAGCUAACGCGUGAAGUUGACCGCCUGGGGAGUACGGUCGCAAGAUU